ACAUAUAUCGGACUUGGCUUUCGUGACUCCAGGCAAAGGAGGAGGCACUGAACCACGAUUAUCGUUGGGAAUCGAUCACUGAAUAAAAUAAGAGUACCAUGUCAGCGAUUUGCCGACCGAAUUGCGGCAAUCAAUGCGGGGUCACCAGAAGCAAUCGCCUUCGCUCCAGCUGUGGACAGCGCGUGUGAGCGCGAUGACGUCGAUCUAAAAAUAGCGCCGAGGAAUAUUUUAUUCGCACGAUACGCGUAGGCGUAGCAACUCGAAAUCUACGUCUUUAUCGAGAGGUUUCCUACCUCCUCGUCAUCCCUCGCCGAUUCCAGGUGACUAGGCGAAUAAGUAUGCCGGCGAGUCGCCUGGUAAGCUUGACCAACGUGCAACUUACCGAGAAUGUUAUCGAGGAAGGAUGAAUUUUUCAAGCGCGUGGCCUCUUCUCAACACUGAACUCUUGAUAGUCUUCUUGUAUACACUGUGUUGCGAUUCUCAUCCUCGUUACACCUCCGCAAGUCGCAAGACUUGUAUGAAUGUAUUGCACUAUAUCGCGUUGCGUUACGAGUGACGAUAAAUAAAUUAUGUAAUAAAAGAGAGACGAGGCUCGUACAGC